GAUGAACGCUGGCGGCAGGCUUAACACAUGCAAGUCGAACGGGUGUAGCAAUACAUCAGUGGCAGACGGGUGAGUAACACGUGGGAACCUUCCUAGGGGUACGGAACAACUCAGGGAAACUUGAGCUAAUACCGUAUACGUCCGUGAGGAGAAAGAUUUAUCGCCCUUAGACGGGCCCGCGUCGGAUUAGCUAGUUGGUGGGGUAACGGCCUACCAAGGCGACGAUCCGUAGCUGAUCUUAGAGGAUGAUCAGCCACACUGGGACUGAGACACGGCCCAGACUCCUACGGGAGGCAGCAGU
rnacentral:rRNA from 1 species